rnacentral:rRNA from 1 species
AGCGGAGGAAAAGAAACCAACAGGGAUGGCUCUAGUAACGGCGAGUGAAGCAGCCAAAGCUCAAAUUUGAAAGCUCCUAACAAGGCGCAUUGUAAUUUGAAGAUGGUAUUCCGAGUUAGUCCUUUACCUCAGUUCCUUGGAACAGGACGCCAUAGAGGGUGAGAGCCCCGUGUGGUAUUGGUAGCUUUCUCAUGUGGUUUACCUUCGAAGAGUCGAGUUGUUUGGGAAUGCAGCUCUAAGUGGGUGGUAAAUUCCAUCUAAAGCUAAAUAUUGGCGAGAGACCGAUAGCGAACAAGUACUGUGAAGGAAAGAUGAAAAGAACUUUGAAAAGAGAGUGAAAAAGUACGUGAAAUUGUUGAAAGGGAAGGGAAUUGGACUAGACUUGGAUUUCUGUUAUCAGCAGUCUUUCGGGGCUGUGCACUAGCAGUUUUCUAGGCCAGGAUCUGUUUGGAGGCCAGGAUAAAACCCAAAGAAUGUGGCUCUUCGGAGUGUUAUAGCUUUGGUUGAAUACUGGCAUUCUGGACAGAGGACCGCGCUUCGUGCUAGGAUCCUGGCGUAAUAGUCCUAUUCCACCCGUCUUG